rnacentral:rRNA from 1 species
UUCCUACGGGGGGCAGCAGUGGGGGAUAUUGCACAAUGGGGGGAACCCUGAUGCAGCGACGCCGCGUGGGUGAAGAAGCGCCUCGGCGCGUAAAGCAUUGUCAGCAGGGAAGAAAAUGACGGUAACUGAAGAAGAAGCCCCGGCUAACUACGUGCAAGCAGCCGCGGUAAUACGUAGGGGGCAAGCGUUAUCCGGAUUUACUGGGUGUAAAGGGGGCGCAGAAGGCGAUGCAAGGCAGGAGUGAAAGCCCGGGGCACAA